rnacentral:rRNA from 1 species
GACGAACGCUGGCGGCGUGCUUAACACAUGCAAGUCGAACGGACAGACCCUGCUCUUGCGGCGUGCUCGAGUGGCGAACGGGUGUGUAACACGCGUGUAACCUGUCCUUGACUGUGUGAUAACUUCAGGAAACUGGGGCUAAUACCGGAUAGGAGCUCCUGCUGCACGGUGUUGGUUGGAAAGUGUCGGCGUUUGGGGCUCGACUCGCUGGUUAUCCGCUAGUUGGUGGGGUAGUGGCUUACGAAGGGUUUGACGGGUAGCCGGCAUGAGAGGUUGACCGGGCACAAUGGGACUGAGAGAGGGAGCAGACGCCUACGGGAGGCAGCGGGGGGGAGUAUUGCGCAAUGGGGGGGAGCGUGAUGCGGCGACGCCGCGUGCGGAAUAACGGGCUUCGGGUGGUAAACAGCUGUCGCAUGUAACGAAGCGUGAGUGACGGUAAUGGGUAAAGAAGCAACGGCUAACUACGUG